GACGAACGCUGGCGGCGUGCUUAACACAUGCAAGUCGAACGGAAAGGCCCUGCUUUUGUGGGGUGCUCGAGUGGCGAACGGGUGAGUAACACGUGAGUAACCUGCCCUCGACUUUGGGAUAACUUCAGGAAACUGGGGCUAAUACCGGAUAGGAGCUCCUGCUGCAUGGUGGGGGUUGGAAAGUUUCGGCGGUUGGGGAUGGACUCGCGGCUUAUCAGCUUGUUGGUGGGGUAGUGGCUUACCAAGGCUUUGACGGGUAGCCGGCCUGAGAGGGUGGCCGGCCACAUUGGGACUGAGAUACGGCCCAGACUCCUACGGGAGGCAGCAGUGGGGAAUAUUGCACAAUGGGCGGAAGCCUGAUGCAGCAACGCCGCGUGCGGGAUGACGGCCUUCGGGUUAUAAACCGCUUUCGCCUGUGACGAAGCGUGAGUGACGGUAAUGGGUAAAAAAGCACCGGCUAACUACGUG
rnacentral:rRNA from 1 species